rnacentral:lncRNA from 1 species
AAUUAAUAUAUAUAUGAGUCAGACUAUUAUACUUUUAGACUGUAUUUUGUUCGGAUAUAAAAUAAAAAUAUUUUUGGGAUAUGUAUAAGUUCAAAUAUAAGUAGGAACUAGAUCAAUUUUGCGUUUAGAUAAAAUUUGGGUUGUUUCUAGAAAUAAGGUAAAUAGUAUUUUGAUGGUUAAAUUGAAACAAUAGGAAUAAAAAUUAUAUUUUUAAAUCAAAAUUAUUUUAUCUAAUUAAUUAAUAUUAAAAUAUUACUUAAAAAUACAUGAAUAAAUUAAUAAAUUUAUUAGCUAUGAAUAUUGUAUAAGAUAAUAAAAAUAUAUUAAUUAAUUAAUUAAUUAAUUAAUUAUAAAAUAUAAUUUAACUUUUUAAUUAGUUAGUAAAUUACUUUAGCUAGAUUACUAGUAAAAAAAUUAAUUAGAUUAAUAGAAAUAUUAAUUGUUGGUCAAUAUAAAUAUUAGUUUAUAGAUAAAUACAUUAUAUUAUUAAUAAUUAAUUUUAAAUAAUAAAUUAAUUAAUUAAUUAUUUUUUAUUAUUUAAGUAAUAAAUAAUAAUUAAAAUAUAUUAAUUAGAUUAAUUAAUAAUUUAAUAUCAUUAUUAAAAUUAAAUUUAGAUUUUAAUUAAUUUUGUUCCCAAGGAACAAGCUUAUUUGAAGAAAAAGGUGGAUU